GCCUGACUAGCUCAGUCGGUAGAGCACUAGACUCUUAAUCUAGGUGUCGCGGGUUCGAGUCCCGCGUUGGGUG
rfam:Edhazardia aedis TSNM 41457 supercont1.75, whole genome shotgun sequence.